rnacentral:lncRNA from 1 species
AUUUUUUGAUCAAUAGUUGUAUUUUUUAAAUAUAAUUCUCAAAAAUUCUAUUUUACGAAAGUUUUCAUUUUUUCAUAGAAAUAUUGUAGAUUUGGGGUUGUGGUUUAGACAUUAGGAUAACAAGAAUUUUUGUUGAUAGAUGAGUAUUUUUUUAAAUUUUUUGAUCAAUAGUUGUAUUUUUUAAAUAUAAUUCCCAAAAAUUCUAUUUUACCAAAGUUUUCAUUUUUUCAUAGAAAUAUUGUAGAUUUGGGAUUGUGAUUUAGAAAUUAGGAUAACAAGAAUUUUUGUUGAUAGAUGAGUAUUUUUUUAUAUUUUUUUAUCAAUAAGUUGUAUUUUUUAAAUAUAAUUCUCAAAAAUUCAGAGCGACGUCAUAGGCGAUUUUCUCAAAACCACCACCAGACUCGUUUCUUCACCGGGAUUUUUCGUUGCCGGCGGCUUUGGCCGUCGGAGUCUCUUUGUUUUCUUUAUAUUUAGUAGUAAUAGUUAAUAAAACCAAUUGAUGUUGGAUUGGACAUCAAAUCAUUCGAUUUGGGAACAUCCAAAUCGCGUUAUUUUUCUGUCUCGCCAUUUAAGAUCACCAUGUUCUCUUCUUCAGACAGUCAUUAGGAUUCGGGCGAGAAGAUUAUAUGAUUUUCGAACGGUUGGCGUGCGUCUUUUCUCCCAACGGGAGCGUUAUUCUCCGGUACUGGGUUUCGUAGAUUUACGGAGUUGCUGGACCGAUGGCUUUCCCUUGCACAUAUUGCAAGUUUGUUUAAUCUCUCAAUCUCGAUUUGUUCACACAAUGAAUCGACAUAAAAAGCUGCCCUGGCCUGGGGAUCACAGAGGAUUGGCGCACAAACUAAAAUUGGAAUUGAAGAUAUGGAUUCAAGGUAUUGUUCUUUUGGAUAUGGCUGGAAUAAGAUACGACAGUGAUGAUUUUGUGAGGACGAUAGUGCUAGUUUGUGGUGGGUCCAUCUGGCAACAAGGAUCAAUACAAAAUCAUGGUAAAUAUUUAUACUUCAGUCUCUCCUCACUUGGAGACAGCGUUUCACCAAAAAAUGAAAAAUGGGAGGAGUCUGGUAAUGGCCAAUAUGAAGGAAAUAGUGUUCUGAAACGGCGUCCAAUGGUUAUAUUACAACAUCAACACAAUGUGGAGUACUUUAGUUAUUGUGUUUGUUGGUUUCAAAUCAGGAGAAAACGUAGAUCAUGGAGAGUUAAGACAAUAACAACACAUGUUAUCUCCUGCAGCGGGAGUGUAUGGGACGGAUUGAGAUGUAACAGAUGGAUCCAAUCCAAUGAUCUUCGAAAAGAAAAGAGGCUUUUGGUCACAAUGUAUGACAGCCAACAAGAUCAUUUAAGACCGAGAACGAAGAUGGAUAAAGUUAGCGUAUCAGCCUAUUCUACGGAUGAGUUAGAUAGCAACGUGUUAUUACUAUUCCAAUUUCAAAAUCUUCUUAAAAAUGUGUUGUUUAUCUCUUAUGUUUCAUGUAAACAUUUGAACCCAUUUUGAUAUCAAUAAAAUAGUUUGUCGUUAAAAAAAAAAAAAUUCUCAAAAAUUCUAUUUAAGGAAAGUUUUCAUUUAUUCAUAGAAAUAUUGUAGAUCUGGGGUUGUGGUUUAGAUAUUAGGAUAACAAGAAUUUUUGUUAAUAAAUAAGUAUUCUUUUAGAUUUUUUGAUCAAUUGUUGUAUUUUUUAAAUAUAAUUCUCAAAAAUUCUAUUUUAGGAAAGUAUUCAUUUUUACAUAGAAAUAUUGUAGAUUUGGGGUUGUGGUUUUGUAAUUAGGAUAACAAGAAUUUUUGUUGAUAGAUGAGUAUUUUUUUAAAUUAUUUUAUCAAUAAGUUGUAUUUUUUAAAAAUAAUUCUCAAAAAUUCUAUUUUAGGAAAGUUUUCAUUUUUACUUAAAAAUAUUGUAGAUUUGGAGUUGUGGUUUAGUAAUUAGGAUAACAAGAAUUUUUGUUGAUAGAUGAGUAUUCUUUUAGAUUUUUUAAUCAAUAGUUGUAUU